rnacentral:rRNA from 1 species
AAGCCUGAUGCAGCCAUGCCGCGUGUAUGAAGAAGGCCUUCGGGUUGUAAAGUACUUUCAGCGGGGAGGAAGGUGUUGUGGUUAAUAACCACAGCAAUUGACGUUACCCGCAGAAGAAGCACCGGCUAACUCCGUGCCAGCAGCCGCGGUAAUACGGAGGGUGCAAGCGUUAAUCGGAAUUACUGGGCGUAAAGCGCACGCAGGCGGUCUGUCAAGUCGGAUGUGAAAUCCCCGGGCUCAACCUGGGAACUGCAUUCGAAACUGGCAGGC